CCUACGGGUGGCAGCAGUGGGGGAUAUUGCACAAUGGGGGAAACCCUGAUGCAGCGACGCCGCGUGGGUGAUGACGCGCCUCGGCGCGUAAAGCCCUGUCUGCAGGGAAGAAAAUGCAGGUACCUGAAGCAGAAGCCCCGGCUAACUACGUGCCAGCAGCCGCGGUACUACGUAGGGGGCAAGCGUUAUCCGGAUUUACGGGGGGUAAAGGGGGCGCAGACGGCGUUGCAAGCCAGGAGUGAAACGCCGGGGCCCAACCCCGGGACUGCUCUGGGAACUGCGUGGCUAGAGUGCAGGAGGGGCAGGCGGAAUUCCUGGUGUAGCGGUGAAAUGCGGAGAUAUCAGGAGGAACACCGGUGGCGAAGGCGGCCUGCUGGACUGCAACUGACGUUGAGGCCCGAAAGCGUGGGGAGCAAACAGGAUUAGAUACCCCAGUAGUC
rnacentral:rRNA from 1 species